rnacentral:rRNA from 1 species
UACGGAGGGUGCAAACGUUGCUCGGAAUCAUUGGGCGUAAAGCGCACGUAGGCGGUCGGCUAUGUCGGAUGUGAAAGCCUCGGGCUUAACCCGAGAAGGGCAUCCGAAACUGGCCGGCUUGAGUACGGAGGAGGGUCUCGGAAUUCCCGGUGUAGAGGUGAAAUUCGUAGAUAUCGGGAGGAACACCAGUGGCGAAGGCGGAGACCUGGGCCGAUACUGACGCUGAGGUGCGAAAGCGUGGGGAGCAAACAGG